UUGAGAGCCCUUGGGACCCACCUGACCUGCCUGCCUGAGUUUGGGUGACCAUGCUUCUGUGUGGGCGGUGCCACUGCUGCCUGUCCCUUUCUCGGAGAGGCCUCACGGCCGAGGCGUGCGUUCUUUUUUCCCGGCACCGUCACCACCCGUGUUGUCCUCACUUGAAAGGUGGCCAUUUGAGAUCUACAGGACCGUGCCUAGUUCACAGAUGGGGCGGCCACUAACAUUCUUACGGUCUUCACCUUGCGCUAGAACUUUCCAGGGUGAGACCUUUCUGUGCCCUUUCUACGUCACCUGGAGCCCGUGACGCCCGCUCAUCUGUCUGGCUGGAAUCGCCGCCUGGCCCCUCACCACGGUUAUUGCCUUUCGUGCCGAGUUGCCCGGGUUUGCUGUGUUAUUGGCUCGUUUUUCAUUCUGCAUCUGCAGUAGCCAGACUUGGAGAUGAAAAGCAUGUGGCGCCUAACCAUGAUGAAAGAGGGGCGCCUGCGAGUGCCUGAGCGUCUGAAAAGGACCUUUUAGAGGCGGAGGAGCAGAGGAGGAGAGUGACUGCGGGCUCAGCUGGCCCCGUGGCCCCGUGGCCCCGUGGUCUGGAUGGCGUGGCUGGAGUCUGGCCUCUCAGAGCCGAGGCUUCCCGAGCUGUGAGGCGAGAGAGAGAGAGAGAUUCACCUUGCAGAGUUCUACGGCGCGGCACGGAGCGGCCAUUCCAUAAGCAUCGUUGCCGUAGCUGUAAUAUGUUAUCACUAUAACGUAUAUCUAUGAGUCAUAAAAUAAUAGAACUAUUUUAUUUUGGAGAUCUCUUAGAAAACAUAAACAGGAGAAAGAACCAUGAAA
rnacentral:lncRNA from 1 species